AACGCUGAGGUGUGAUGACGAGGCACUACGGUGCUGAAGUGACAAAUGCCCUGCUUCCAGGAAAAGCCUCUAAGCAUCAGGUAACAUCAAAUCGUACCCCAAACCGACACAGGUGGUCAGGUAGAGAAUACCAAGGCGCUUGAGAGAACUCGGGUGAAGGAACUAGGCAAAAUGGUGCCGUAACUUCGGGAGAAGGCACGCUGAUGGUAGGUGAAG
rnacentral:rRNA from 1 species